AUUUAAAACUGAAGCGCUAAACUAAACCAAAACUACCAAAAAUAUUUAUUUGUUUUGCACUUCGGCACAUGGUGAAAGUACACAACACGGAGACACAUAUAGUAACAUCAUAUAUACAUCAAAGACAAUUUGCAAUUUUGGUUUAUAUCAGUAUAUUUAAAAUAAAAGCACUUCACCAGUGAUACAGUGUGACUUACUUGAACUCUGCAAGCCCAGCAGGAUAGAACAACCUUUCAACUUAGCAAAAAGUUGGAAAUGCAUAGAAUUCCUGUACAGUCCCUUAUGAAGGUUGCGUCCAUAGGUGGGGUAUUUGUAAUAGGAAACGCACUGCUAAUGCGAUUUUUGACACAAAAGAAACUGAAGGACUCGCCCUAUUUUGUCCAAGCACGAGACAUUCUGAUGAGCAAUCAGGCACUGGUCUCAUUCCUGGGAGAACCCGUAGGUUUUGGAAGCGUGGACUUGGGCGACUCGAAAAAUUUCAGUACAUCCGAAGAAGCUAGAUUUGAAAUUCCAAUUAAGGGGUCAAACCACGAAGGGAUACUUUAUUUAUGGUCCAUGAGAGACUCUCAUGCAGCUAGCAAAGUGGGCGACCUCAUCGACGAGGAGCAAUCUCAAAAUAACAAAUAUGCAGAAUGGAAUAUUAAAAAUUUAGAAAUCACAAUUAAGGACAAACCCAAUCAGAAAUUGAUACUUGUUUCAGAUUCAGUAUUAACAAGCAAUAAAAAGAGUGUCGGCUAUAGCUAAUUAAUGAAAA